rnacentral:rRNA from 1 species
AACGAACGCUGGCGGCAUGCCUAACACAUGCAAGUCGAACGAGACCUUCGUGUCUAGUGGCGCACGGGUGCGUAACACGUGGGAACCUGCCCUUAGGUUCGGAAUAACUCCCCGAAAGGGGUGCUAAUACCGGAUAAUGUCUUCGGACCAAAGAUUUCUCGCCUUUGGAUGGGCCCGCGUUGGAUUAGGUAGUUGGUAGGGUAAAAGCCUACCAAUGCGACGAUCCAUAGAUGGUCUGAGAGGCUGAUCAGCAACAAUGGGACUGAGACACGGCCAAGACUCCAAAGUGAGGCAGACGUUGAGAAUAGUAGAAAGUGCGAGAAAGCAUAAUCCAGCCAUGACGCGUGAGUGAGGAAGCACUUAGUGUUGUAAAGGUCUUUUACCCGGGAUAAUAAUGACAGUAACGGGAGAAUAAGCUCCGGCUAACUCCGUG